GACGAACGCUGGCGGCGUGCCUAAUACAUGCAAGUAGAACGCUGAAGAGAGGAGCUUGCUCUUCUUGGAUGAGUUGCGAACGGGUGAGUAACGCGUAGGUAACCUGCCUUGUAGCGGGGGAUAACUAUUGGAAACGAUAGCUAAUACCGCAUAACAAUAGGUGACACAUGUCAUUUAUUUGAAAGGGGCAAUUGCUCCACUACAAGAUGGACCUGCGUUGUAUUAGCUAGUAGGUGAGGUAACGGCUCACCUAGGCGACGAUACAUAGCCGACCUGAGAGGGUGAUCGGCCACACUGGGACUGAGACACGGCCCAGACUCCUACGGGAGGCAGCAGUAGGGAAUCUUCGGCAAUGGGGGCAACCCUGACCGAGCAACGCCGCGUGAGUGAAGAAGGUUUUCGGAUCGUAAAGCUCUGUUGUAAGUCAAGAACGAGUGUGAGAGUGGAAAGUUCACACUGUGACGGUAGCUUACCAGAAAGGGACGGCUAACUACG
rnacentral:rRNA from 1 species